CGGUGUAGCUCAGUGGUAGAGUGCUUCCUUGGUAAGGAAGAGGUCACGAGUUCAAUUCUCGUCAUUG
rnacentral:tRNA from 1 species